AUUGAACGCUGGCGGCAGGCCUAACACAUGCAAGUCGAACGGAACCUUCGGGUUUAGUGGCGAACGGGUGAGUAAUGCCUAGGAAUCUGCCUAUUAGUGGGGGAUAACGAAUCGAAAGGUUCGCUAAUACCGCAUACGUCCUACGGGAGAAAGAGGGGGAUCUUCGGACCUCUUGCUAAUAGAUGAGCCUAGGUCGGAUUAGCUAGUUGGUGAGGUAAAGGCUCACCAAGGCGACGAUCUGUAGCUGGUCUGAGAGGAUGGCCAGCCACACUGGAACUGAGACACGGUCCAGACUCCUACGGGAGGCAGCAGUGGGGAAUAUUGGACAAUGGGCGCAAGCCUGAUCCAGCCAUGCCGCGUGUGUGAAGAAGGCCUUCGGGGUUGUAAAGCACUUUCAGCGAGGAGGAAAGGUUGGUAGCUAAUAACUGCCAGCUGUGACGUUACUCGCAGAAGAAGCACCGGGCUAACUCCGUGCCAGCAGCCGCGGGUAAUUCC
rnacentral:rRNA from 1 species